rnacentral:lncRNA from 7 species
CAGUAGAGUUCAUAGGAUUCCUCAAGACCCCAAAACCAACAGAAAAGCGGAGUUUCACUCCCAGUCCUCAUAUGUGGGAUGCCAGGGCUGCAUGAUGAGAGGGCACUGUGACUCAUUACUUCUGGGAGCUGCACAGCACUGGGAGCUGGCGACACAUCUUGCAAUAGGCGUAGUCCUAAUGCCUGUUUUGCUUACGUUCAGCACAUGGAAUGGCUGCAAGUCAUCUUAUUGCCCAGAUGCCUAAAUAUAACGUCAUAUGGUAGGACAGAACUCCUGAAUGUUGGGGAAAUCCACAUCCACGAGAAACAGCAGUAACACUGGCAACCACUCAAAUAACCCUCAGAAAGGUUGCAGCUGAAGGACACCACUGCUGGAUAGACAGAUGAAGAUAUAUUCCUCAACUCAAGAAGGGAACAGAGGAUGCAUUGUUGUAUGGAAUGAUUAGAUGACUGACUAAUGAGCCUUGAGGUGCAAGGAAAUUGGCUACAAAAGCAAUUAAAUAAGUCCCUGAUGUUCUAAUGUACUCUGUAUAAAUGCUAAACUCUUACUAUGCUUAGUUUUUUUCAUAGUAUACCAUUAAAUGUUUGUAAACAUACCUAGAAGUAAAUUAGAGAUGUCGAUGUUUGUUAUUUUAAGGCCAAGGUGGAUCAGGAAGUGUUACUUGAGGCCAAUCUGGUUAAGUCUUCUGCCAGUUCUGAUAACAUAAAAGGUACAGGGAUCUCACCUGUUUUUGGGAAGGGAGUUUCUGCACUGGCUCGGGGGGCUUUUCUUGGAGGAGAAAAUCAACACAAAUAUUUGACUUGAGUUUCCUGCUUAGAGUGUACAUCCAAGUUUAUUUGGUAAAAACAGUAAAUGUGUAGUUCCAUCCAGUGGAAUUCUGUUGUUAGGUCAUUCUGGGCAAGCCUGUCAAUAUAAGGCCGUAAUUGCAAUGUUGGAGUGCGCUUAAUAUUUUAGGAACAAAGUUAGGUUUGCUGAAAAUAUUACUAGAGGUGAUCUUCAGAUUUGCGCCCCCCACCCCAUUAUACCUCUAAUAACCCAUUCCUGUAUAGAUGUGUCACUAGUUCCUUUUUAUUUUCCUGAUAAACAUAUGUAACUAAAUGAGGCUUGUUU